rnacentral:lncRNA from 1 species
UCUCUCUCUCUCUCUCGACUUUUACAGUGAAGUGUAAACUCCACAAAAGUUGUAGUGCAGCUGCAAAACAUCAGGGAAAAUAUACACUUCUUCUCAUACAAAAUGUGCUUCUAGUAGUGCAACUGAUCAACAGUGAACCAAAUCUGUUUCACUAUAUGUAGGCGUAGCGGCCAUUUUAAUUAAUUUUCUGAGCUGGUGUUGGUUGGUUUUGGCAUUUUCUUUCUGGGAUCCCUUUCUUUCUUUGGGCAACGGGGAGGCAUAGAUUGAUCGCCGGUGCAGUUAAUUUGGAGGGACAGGGACAUGGACAGAGAUAUGGAUCAAUGCAAGCUUCUAGGUAAAAACUGAUUGCUAGCUAGGAGGCCCUUAGCAAUAUAUUGCUUCAGGUCAUCUUGAGGAAGAUCAAUAUUUUGUUAAGAACUCCAUCUGAGCCGAUCAAGCACUCAUCAAGCUGUAUGUGAUAUGUAGUUCUCGAUCUAUUAUGUAACAUGUACUGCUAUGUUAGGAACUUCUGUGUUAGGUUGCUGACUGUGAAGAAGGUAGUGUUUUAUUUGCUAGUACAAUGUUCCAUGUUGUUUUCUUAAUU